rnacentral:lncRNA from 1 species
AUCAUUGACUCCCAGAUUUCCAAGCAAGCCCUCAGCGAGAUUGAGGGUCGGCACAAGGACAUCGUGAGGCUGGAGAGCAGCAUCAAGGAGCUCCAUGACAUGUUUAUGGACAUCGCCAUGCUGGUGGAGAAUCAGGGUGAGAUGUUAGAUAACAUAGAGUUGAAUGUCAUGCACACGGUGGACCAUGUGGAGAAGGCACGGGAUGAAACUAAAAGAGCCAUGAAGUAUCAGGGUCAGGCUCGAAAGAAAUUGAUAAUUAUCAUUGUGAUAGUAGUUGUGUUGCUGGGCAUUUUAGCGUUGAUUAUUGGAUUGUCCGUUGGGCUGAAAUAAGAGUGGCCUAAGGGGCUGCUGCACUGAAAUGGAUGGAGACAUCUAGCAGGAGCAAAGACAACCGUGAAUAAAUAAAAGUGUGCUAUUCAGAAGACCUCCUUCCUCUUACGGAGAUUGACGUCAAGCAAGUGGAAGCCUUAGGCUAAUGAAUAAUAAUCCCAGUGGUCGUUACUUGCCUGUGGAUGUUUCUAGUGAUACUGGAAUCUUUCAGCCAUAACAAUGCUUACACAAAUGUUUCUAAGCCAAAUUCACUAUUACCCCCUUUGUAUGUUCAGCACUGUAGGGGCUGUUCUACAUUAUUACUUUACUCACCGUUAA